UGAUGGUGAUCUGGCUGUGACAUCUGUCAUACCCAAUCACCAGGGUCGAUUACUUGAUCUCACUUUUUAGGCUAGUGUCCCCAUCCCUCCUUUCCUUUCCAUGUGUAUCCCUCCUGAAGCUGUGUCCUUGGUAGAAGAGGAACCUUCCCCAAUGGAAGGGAACUCUUCCUUUGUGGAGGAUAUAUGAUGCUCAACCUCGCCUGCCUUCUGAAACCUCUAAACAAAGUCAGUGCGGAAACAUUCACGGCAAUGGGAAGGUUUGGGACAGUGUCAUUGGUGUUUUUGACAUUUCAU
rnacentral:snRNA from 1 species